rnacentral:misc_RNA from 1 species
GUGAAUCAUCGAAUUUUUGAACGCAUAUUGCACUAUCUGGUAUUCCGUAGAGUAUGCCUAUUUGAGGGUCAUUUGAAAUAAUAUAAAUUUCUAGAUUUUCUUGACAUCAAAAAUGGUUCAGUCCAGCUUUCGUGUGGUGGUCGCCUAAAAUGCAAGACAAGCUCAUUUCUUGGGUAGCGUGAUACUUACAGCUACCUCGUGACUUCACAAGAAAACUUCGAGCGUGUUAAGAAUUGUUCAAGAAAUAAACUUCACUUAUCUCCAGCUUAAUAUUAAAUUGAAGCAUGACCCCAACUUAGGU